rnacentral:rRNA from 1 species
AUGGUGGUUAGAAUAGUAACCAUAUGUGCUUGCUCGAUACUGAUAAAUGGAAUAUUUUCAAAGCACGUAUGGUGUGGAUAUGUUCGCAAUUUGGCGCAACGGCAGAUUACUAAAAAAUACACAUUUUUUCAACAUGACAUGGUCUUGAAAUGGGACUCUACUACCAAAUUAAAAUGUGUAGGUAUAUCUCAUUGUAGAUGA